AUGGAACACUUAAACCAUUGUGAUCCCCUUUGAAUGCAAUUACCCUUGAUUCUGAAGGUUGUGAUGGUUGUUGUCUCUGUUGAAGCCUUGUUUUUUCUUCUGACACAACCAUAGGCCUUAUAGCUGGUUCAUCUUCUAGUUCCGGAUGCUCAAAAGCAGUAGCACAACUUGAAGUCUCCCUAUAGACCCUUGGUGUAGGCAUGAAAACAAACUCUGGGCCUUGACUUGCUU
rnacentral:lncRNA from 1 species